rnacentral:rRNA from 1 species
CUGGUCUUGACAUCCCGGAGACCCUUAGGAAACUAGGGGGUGCUUCCAUCUGGAAGAAUCUGGAGACAGGUGCUGCAUGGCUGUCGUCAGCUCGUGUCGUGAGAUGUUGGGUUAAGUCCCGCAACGAGCGCAACCCUUGCCUUUAGUUGCCAGCAGUUCGGCUGGGCACUCUAAAGGGACUGCCGGUGUUAAACCGGAGGAAGGUGGGGAUGACGUCAAGUCCUCAUGGCCUUUAUGACCAGGGCUACACACGUACUACAAUGGCCGAUACAAGGGGCAGCGACACUGCGAGGUGAAGCCAAUCCCGUAAAAUCGGUCUCAGUCCGGAUUGGAGUCUGCAACUCGACUCCAUGAAGUUGGAAUCGCUAGUAAUCGUGGAUCAGCAUGCCACGGUGAAUACGUUCCC